rnacentral:lncRNA from 1 species
GACUCAGUAGUGUCGGAUUCCCGGGGGAAGCCUUACGGCUGCAUCCUAUAAAGGAAAGAAUGACGAAGCAAAGGCGAAGUGAAACCAAAGCUUAAAAUUGACUUCUCUGAUGCGAUCUUGUUUGACUGAAGAACGACGUUGACCAUUAGCACCCGUAACGACAGUAUCUUCCUAAUCAUUACAGCCUUUCUCAAGAUCUAGCCACAAAUAUACAGCUUUCUCUUCAUCUUCCUGCUUCCCACCGUAAAGCAAAGGCUGACACCAAGGUUCAAAGCGUUCGAAGUUCAGGAUCGAUCGAUCCAACGAAGUGUUUACCUCUUUAAGAUGUAAACGUGGGUCAUGAGAUGGGUUCCCACACACCAACUCAUCCCCUACAGGCCUAGAAGAAUGUAGGUCAUGGAGGACACAUGUUUACCUCUUCAAGACUGGAAAUUUGAUCAUGAGAUGUGAUCCCAUCCACCAACUCAUCCCCCAUAGGCCUUGAAGAAUGUAGAUCAUGAAGAACACAGUAAGUACAAAUGCCAUGUAAAUUAUAAUUUUAGAAAUUAAAACUAUCAGAUUAAUAAUUUUACACCAUAAGCUUCCUUAUACUUGUAGUAACAGUUAAGUUAUACUAAGCCAGGACAUAUUAAGCAUACAAAUGCAAGGGUUAACUAAAAUUGUGGGAUAUCUGAAAUUUGUUCAAAAUGGGAUUCUACAUUAAUAUAAUUGGUAAUAAUCUGUGUUGAAUGAAACAACUUUUGAAAUAGCAUGGAAUGAUUGCUGUGAAUCCUCAAAUAGGCUGCUCCAUGAAUGAGAAAUCUGCAUACUAGGAUAAAAUUUAACUGUAGACCUCCCUCCCUGCCCUUUACUUGAUUUUAAAAUGAUGUAUUGCAGUCAAAUCUGUGUUAAGCAGUCACCCUUGGGGAAUGGGUCAGGGUGACUGAUUAAUACAGGUUUACCGCUAAAUACAGGUUCCACAAAAGAGGGGUGAUAUAAGAAAUGAUAAAAAUUGCCAAAGUUGACCACUUCAUGUACAAAUAAUAUGCAUGAAAAAUUACUCAGUUCUGGUUGGUGAAGAUAAAUGCAGUU